rnacentral:tRNA from 1 species
UAUAGCCCAGUGGUAGAGUGUGUGCUUAGCAUGCAUGAGGUCCUGGGUUCAAUCCCUAGUA